UACGUAGGUGGCAAGCGUUGUCCGGAUUUACUGGGCGUAAAGGAUGCGUAGGCGGACAUUUAAGUCAGAUGUGAAAUACCCGAGCUUACUUGGGUGCUGCAUUUGAAACUGGGUGUCUAGAGUGCAGGAGAGGUAAGUGGAAUUCCUAGUGUAGCGGUGAAAUGCGUAGAGAUUAGGAAGAACACCAGUGGCGAAGGCGACUUACUGGACUGUAACUGACGCUGAGGCAUGAAGCGUGGGAGCAAACAGG
rnacentral:rRNA from 1 species